rnacentral:ncRNA from 1 species
AUUUAUGGUUCAAAUGUGAUUAAAAGGAAAGUUGAGUGCGAUUCUCACACGGUCCCGCCACUGUAAAGAUGACGAAAUCAGAAGAAACCACUGUAUUUUAAAUACGGGAAGGACUGAAAGUAGGGUGAUUCUAAGUCAGGAGGCCUGCCAUAAAUUAG